AUUGAACGCUGGCGGCAUGCUUUACACAUGCAAGUCGAACGGUAACAGGUUAAGCUGACGAGUGGCGAACGGGUGAGUAAUGCAUCGGAACGUGCCCGGUCGUGGGGGAUAACGCAGUGAAAGCUGCGCUAAUACCGCAUACGAUCUGAGGAUGAAAGCGGGGGACCGUAAGGCCUCGCGCGAUCGGAGCGGCCGAUGUCAGAUUAGGUAGUUGGUGGGGUAAAGGCUCACCAAGCCAACGAUCUGUAGCUGGUCUGAGAGGACGACCAGCCAGACUGGGACUGAGACACGGCCCAGACUCCUACGGGAGGCAGCAGUGGGGAAUUAUGGACAAUGGGCGAAAGCCUGAUCCAGCAAUGCCGCGUGCAGGAAGAAGGCCUUCGGGUUGUAAACUGCUUUUGUACGGAGCGAAAAGGUCUCCUCUAAUACAGGGGGCUCAUGACGGUACCGUAAGAAUAAGCACCGGCUAACUACGUGCCAGCCGCCGCAGUAA
rnacentral:rRNA from 1 species